rnacentral:rRNA from 1 species
AGCUGACGAGUGGCGACGGGUGAGUAAUACAUCGGAACGUGCCCAGUCGUGGGGGAUAACUACUCGAAAGAGUAGCUAAUACCGCAUACGAUCUGAGGAUGAAAGCGGGGGACCUUCGGGCCUCGCGCGAUUGGAGCGGCCGAUGGCAGAUUAGGUAGUUGGUGGGAUAAAAGCUUACCAAGCCGACGAUCUGUAGCUGGUCUGAGAGGACGACCAGCCACACUGGGACUGAGACACGGCCCAGACUCCUACGGGAGGCAGCAGUGGGGAAUUUUGGACAAUGGGCGAAAGCCUGAUCCAGCAAUGCCGCGUGCAGGAUGAAGGCCUUCGGGUUGUAAACUGCUUUUGUACGGAACGAAAAAGCUCCUUCUAAUACAGGGGGCCCAUGACGGUACCGUAAGAAUAAGCACCGGCUAACUACGUGCCAGCAGCCGCGGUAAUACGUAGGGUGCGAGCGUUAAUCGGAAUUACUGGGCGUAAAGCGUGCGCAGGCGGUUAUGUAAGACAGAUGUGAAAUCCCCGGGCUCAACCUGGGAACUGCAUUUGUGACUGCAUGGCUAGAGUACGGUAGAGGGGGAUGG